GUCUAUGGCCAUACCACCCUGAAUAUGCCCUAUCUUGUCUGAUCUCGGAAGCUAUGCAAGGUUGGGUCUAGUUAGUACUUGAUGAGAGAAAUAUUGGCUUCAUGUAGU
ensembl:rRNA n-R5s150 nuclear encoded rRNA 5S 150